GCCUACGGUCAUACCACCCUGAACACGCCUGAUCUUGGAAUCUAAGCAAGUUCGGGCUUGGUUAGUACUUGGAUGGGAGACCGCCUGGGAAUGCCAGGUGUUGUAGGCU